rnacentral:rRNA from 1 species
CGCCUCUCGACGACAUAGCAUGAGAGGUCCCGCCUGCCCAGUGACGAACGUUGUUUAACGGCCGCGGUAUUUUGACCGUGCGAAGGUAGCGCAAUCACUUGUCCUUUAAAUGAGGACCUGUAUGAAUGGCAUAACGAGGGCUUAGCUGUCUCCCUUUUCCAGUCAAUGAAAUUGAUCUCCCCGUGCAGAAGCGGGGAUAAUAACAUAAGACGAGAAGACCCUGUGGAGCUUUAGGCGAUUAAACGGCCCAUUUGUGGGCGGACUUGCCCUACAGGCAAGCCGGCCCCCCGUGGCUAAAUACCAUUUAACGUCUUUGGUUGGGGCGACCGUGGGGAAAAGAAAAACCCCCAUGAGGACCGGGGACCUUCCCCAGAGCCGAGAGCCUACCACUCAAAGCAUCAGAACCUCUGACCGUAAUGAUCCGGCCGACAGGCCGAUCAACGAACCGAGUUACCCCAGGGAUAACAGCGCAAUCCCCUCUCAGAGCCCAUAUCGACGAGGGGGUUUACGACCUCGAUGUUGGAUCAGGACAUCCUAAUGGUGCAGCCGCUAUUAAGGGUUCGUUUGUUCAACGAUUAAUAGUCCU